rnacentral:rRNA from 1 species
UACGUAGGUGGCAAGCGUUGUCCGGAUUUACUGGGCGUAAAGGGCGUGCAGGCGGUCUGCUAAGUCUAGGGUGAAAGCUCCCGGCUCAACUGGGAGAGGUCCUUGGAUACUGGCGGACUUGAGGGAGGUAGAGGAGAGUGGAAUUCCCGGUGUAGUGGUGAUAUGCGUAGAUAUCGAGAGGAACACCUGCGGCGAAGGCGGGUUGCUGGGCUGACACUGACGCUGAGGCGCGAAAGCUAGGGGAGCGAACGGG